rnacentral:rRNA from 1 species
GGGUUGUGAGGUUAAGCGACUAAGCGUACACGGUGGAUGCCCUGGCAGUCAGAGGCGAUGAAGGACGUGCUAAUCUGCGAAAAGCGUCGGUAAGGUGAUAUGAACCGUUAUAACCGGCGAUGUCCGAAUGGGGAAACCCAGUGCAAUUCGUUGCACUAUCGUUAACUGAAUACAUAGGUUAACGAGGUGAACCGGGGGAACUGAAACAUCUAAGUACCCCGAGGAAAAGAAAUCAACCGAGAUUCCCCCAGUAGCGGCGAGCGAACGGGGAGCAGCCCAGAGUCUGAAUCAGCUUGUGUGUUAGUGGAACGGUCUGGAAAGUCCGACGGUACAGGGUGAUAGUCCCGUACACCAAAAUGCACAGGCUGUGAACUCGAAGAGUAGGGCGGGACACGUGGUAUCCUGUCUGAAUAUGGGGGGACCAUCCUCCAAGGCUAAAUACUCCUGACUGACCGAUAGUGAACCAGUACCGUGAGGGAAAGGCGAAAAGAACCCCGGCGAGGGGAGUGAAAAAGAACCUGAAACCGUGUACGUACAAGCAGUGGGAGCACCUUCGGGUGUGACUGCGUACCUUUUGUAUAAUGGGUCAGCGACUUAUAUUCUGUAGCAAGGUUAACCGUAUAGGGGAGCCGCAGGGAAACCGAGUCUUAACUGGGCGUUAAGUUGCAGGGUAUAGACCCGAAACCCGGUGAUCUAGCCAUGGGCAGGUUGAAGGUUGGGUAACACUAACUGGAGGACCGAACCGACUAAUGUUGAAAAAUUAGCGGAUGACUUGUGGCUGGGGGUGAAAGGCCAAUCAAACCGGGAGAUAGCUGGUUCUCCCCGAAAGCUAUUUAGGUAGCGCCUCGUGAAUUCAUCUUCGGGGGUAGAGCACUGUUUCGGCUAGGGGGUCAUCCCGACUUACCAACCCGAUGCAAACUACGAAUACCGAAGAAUGUUAUCACGGGAGACACACGGCGGGUGCUAACGUCCGUCGUGAAGAGGGAAACAACCCAGACCGCCAGCUAAGGUCCCAAAGUCAUGGUUAAGUGGGAAACGAUGUGGGAAGGCACAGACAGCCAGGAUGUUGGCUUAGAAGCAGCCAUCAUUUAAAGAAAGCGUAAUAGCUCACUGGUCGAGUCGGCCUGCGCGGAAGAUGUAACGGGGCUAAACCAUGCACCGAAGCUGCGGCAGCGACACUAUGUGUUGUUGGGUAGGGGAGCGUUCUGUAAGCCUGCGAAGGUGUGCUGUGAGGCAUGCUGGAGGUAUCAGAAGUGCGAAUGCUGACAUAAGUAACGAUAAAGCGGGUGAAAAGCCCGCUCGCCGGAAGACCAAGGGUUCCUGUCCAACGUUAAUCGGGGCAGGGUGAGUCGACCCCUAAGGCGAGGCCGAAAGGCGUAGUCGAUGGGAAACAGGUUAAUAUUCCUGUACUUGGUGUUACUGCGAAGGGGGGACGGAGAAGGCUAUGUUAGCCGGGCGACGGUUGUCCCGGUUUAAGCAUGUAGGCUGGUUGUCCAGGCAAAUCCGGAUAAUCAAGGCUGAGGUGUGAUGACGAGGCACUACGGUGCUGAAGUAACAAAUGCCCUGCUUCCAGGAAAAGCCUCUAAGCAUCAGGUAACAUCAAAUCGUACCCCAAACCGACACAGGUGGUCAGGUAGAGAAUACCAAGGCGCUUGAGAGAACUCGGGUGAAGGAACUAGGCAAAAUGGUGCCGUAACUUCGGGAGAAGGCACGCUGGUGUGUAGGUGAAGCCCCUGCGGGUGGAGCUGAGACCAGUCGAAGAUACCAGCUGGCUGCAACUGUUUAUUAAAAACACAGCACUGUGCAAACACGAAAGUGGACGUAUACGGUGUGACGCCUGCCCGGUGCCGGAAGGUUAAUUGAUGGGGUUAUCCGUAAGGAGAAGCUCUUGAUCGAAGCCCCGGUAAACGGCGGCCGUAACUAUAACGGUCCUAAGGUAGCGAAAUUCCUUGUCGGGUAAGUUCCGACCUGCACGAAUGGCGUAAUGAUGGCCAGGCUGUCUCCACCCGAGACUCAGUGAAAUUGAACUCGCUGUGAAGAUGCAGUGUACCCGCGGCAAGACGGAAAGACCCCGUGAACCUUUACUAUAGCUUGACACUGAACAUUGAGCCUUGAUGUGUAGGAUAGGUGGGAGGCUUUGAAGCGUGGACGCCAGUCUGCGUGGAGCCAACCUUGAAAUACCACCCUUUAAUGUUUGAUGUUCUAACGUUGGCCCCUUACCGGGGUUGCGGACAGUGUCUGGUGGGUAGUUUGACUGGGGCGGUCUCCUCCCAAAGCGUAACGGAGGAGCACGAAGGUUAGCUAAUCCUGGUCGGACAUCAGGAGGUUAGUGCAAUGGCAUAAGCUAGCUUGACUGCGAGCGUGACGGCGCGAGCAGGUGCGAAAGCAGGUCAUAGUGAUCCGGUGGUUCUGAAUGGAAGGGCCAUCGCUCAACGGAUAAAAGGUACUCCGGGGAUAACAGGCUGAUACCGCCCAAGAGUUCAUAUCGACGGCGGUGUUUGGCACCUCGAUGUCGGCUCAUCACAUCCUGGGGCUGAAGUAGGUCCCAAGGGUAUGGCUGUUCGCCAUUUAAAGUGGUACGCGAGCUGGGUUUAGAACGUCGUGAGACAGUUCGGUCCCUAUCUGCCGUGGGCGCUGGAGAAUUGAGGGGGGCUGCUCCUAGUACGAGAGGACCGGAGUGGACGCAUCACUGGUGUUCGGGUUGUCAUGCCAAUGGCACUGCCCGGUAGCUAAAUGCGGAAGAGAUAAGUGCUGAAAGCAUCUAAGCACGAAACUUGCCCCGAGAUGAGUUCUCCCUGAGACUUUAAGUCUCCUGAAGGAACGUUAAAGACGAUGACGUUGAUAGGCCGGGUGUGUAAGCGCAGCGAUGCGUUGAGCUAACCGGUACUAAUGAACCGUGAGGCUUAACCUUACAACGCCGAAG